rnacentral:rRNA from 1 species
UACAGAGGUCUCAAGCGUUUGUUCGGAUUCAUUGGGCGUAAAGGGUGCGUAGGCGGCGCGGUAAGUCGGGUGUGAAAUCUUGGAGCUUAACUCCGAAACUGCAUUCGAUACUGCCGUGCUUGAGGACUGGAGAGGAGACUGGAAUUUACGGUGUAGCGGUGAAAUGCGUAGAUAUCGUAAGGAAGACCAGUGGCGAAGGCGGGUCUCUGGACAGUUCCUGACGCUGAGGCACGAAGGCCAGGGGAGCGAACGGG